CUCCAUCCCCCUUCUAGCUCCCCAUCCAUCUGCUGAGACCUACUUCCACCACUCAAUAAAAACUUGCACUCAUUCUCCAAGCCCACAUGGGACCCCAUUUCU